ensembl:lncRNA
AUCUCUUUUUAGAGAUCACUCCCUCUGGAGUUUUUUUGCAAGCUUACAACACUGUUAUAACGUACAUGAGCCAUUCCUCACGCCUUAGCAUCUCAGCAGAGAAUAUGAGCCUGCUCCUGCUUCUAAAAGACAGUUAAAUCAUUUCCAUCACUGAACAACACAGUUUGCUUCUCCAUAAAACUUCUCUGGAGGAAGAGCUAAGCAUGUUAAGCUGAAAUAUAGACUCCCAGAAUCCUAGAAGGGUUUGGAUUGGAAGGGACCUUAAAGAUUAUAGUUUUGACCCCCUGCCACAGGCAGGGAAUUCUCUCGCUACGUUAGGCUGUUCAGGGCCCUAUACAACCUGACCUUGAAAGCCUCCAGGGACUGGGCAGCCUCACCAUCCACAUCAUGAAAAUUUUGCUUCAGUUCUUACCCUUAAGGAUGUUCGUACUUACUUUUUUUAUUGGUAGUUUUUCAUGCCUCAGUAAAUCAACUCUUCCUCUCCAGGUUGGGAGUGUUUCUUCAGAGGAGUACUCAGUUGUCACUUGGUUCUCUUUCAUCAGUCUGCAAGCAUAACUCUAGAACAGCACACCUCCCCUGCCACUACAAUCCUCUUCUGGCUUUUGCAGGAGAAAAAGGCAGUUGGAAGAAGCAGACAUUGAACAACAUGAAGGACCGGAGCAGUUCUACAUCUCUACGUCAUCUGUUUGUAGAGAAAUAUCAUCUCACCACAUAUCUAACCAAUAGAUAACAACUUUCCAGCUCAAAGCCCUUUACAACUGUGAUUUCUGUGGUCUACUGUCCUAUCUGCUUUGGAGGUGGUGUUCAGUGGUUGCAGCACACACCAAUGUCCUCGGAGUUUCCUUGGAGCACAGCCCUGGACUCUCUGUGUGGCAGAGCUGUGCUGUAGGCAGCCUCAGCUGGAGCCCUUGGCACAGAUGGCUCCUGAACACUAAGGCCUAUGUGCCUGUAUGGUUGCCUGAGCUGAAUCUGCUCACUGCUAGUGAGAUUUUCAUUUUCUGUGUGUCUUCCUCAGAAAUUAACUGUUUCUGUGUCCUAAAUCAGCCAGCAUUCUAAAUGACAGAUAUAACACUAGUGGCUGCUUGUCUUCUGCUGUGGACUUCCAUCAGUGUACUUAUUACUGUUUGAACAUCUGCAUGUUUAAGAAAAAAAAAAAACCUUACUCCAGUUCCAUCUUCAGGCAGCAUCUUGGCACAGCACACUUUUGGGAUUCAGUUGACUAUUUUAUCAGUUUUCAUCUUCUGUGGAGUGGUUUAGCUCCUUUACAACACACACAGUUUUCUCUAGAAACAUCUGAAAUGAUUGCUGUACAAAUUGCUGUGAAUACCAGAGGAUGAGACAUUCUUUUUUCCCUAAUUUCUGAGCGCAGAGUAAUGUAUGCAGUGAAGCUGGGCUAGCUGACACCACUUGUGACUCUGGCAUUUUGCAUUUAGACACAGCUACUGUUGCAUGCAAAAUUCUUUCUUUUUCUUUUUUUUUUUUCUCUCAAGUAAAGAAUCCAGAAAACUGCAAUCAGAAAGAGGUUUACAAAUGAGUCUACAAUUUAGAGCAUCAAAUCUCCUCUGCUCAACUGUUCUAUUAUCCUGAACUGGAGAUCUCAUAUUCCUAGAACUCCUCUGCUCCAAAAUGUAAAACAGCUAAUGCCAUCUUCUGAAACUCAAACUAUUGGACUUUCAUAUGAGGUGUACUGUGGGUGAGCAAGCUUGCCAGAGCAAUACAGGAAGGAAUAAUAAGGAGGAGGGAGGAGUGGAGAGGAGAGGAGAAUGGACCUUCAGAGAUCACGUUCAACUGCCCAAGCACUUCAGGGCUAAACAAAAGUUAAAGCAUAUUAUUGAGAUCGCUCACUGAGAGAGAUAGGGCAUCAGCUACCUCUCCAUAAAGCCUG